UACGGAAGGCAGCAGGGGGAAUAUUGCACAAUGGGCGCAAGCCUGAUGCAGCCAUGCCGCGUGUAUGAAGAAGGCCUUCGGGUUGUAAAGUACUUUCAGUCGUGAGGAAGGUGUUAAGGUUAAUAACCUUAGCAAUUGACGUUAGCGACAGAAGAAGCACCGGCUAACUCCGUGCCAGCAGCCGCGGUAAUACGGAGGGUGCGAGCGUUAAUCGGAAUUACUGGGCGUAAAGGGCACGCAGGCGGUUAAUUAAGUUGGAUGUGAAAUCCCCGGGCUUAACCUGGGAAUGGCAUUCAAGACUGGUUAGCUAGAGUCUUGUAGAGGGGGUAGAAUUCCAUGUGUAGCGGUGAAAUGCGUAGAGAUGUGGAGGAAUACCGGUGGCGAAGGCGGCCCCUGGACAAAGACUGACGCUCAUGUGCGAAAGCUGGGGAGCAAAC
rnacentral:rRNA from 1 species